GACGAACGCUGGCGGCGUGCUUAACACAUGCAAGUCGAGCGGUAAGGCCCUUUCGGGGGUACACGAGCGGCGAACGGGUGAGUAACACGUGGGUGACCUGCCCUCAGCUCUGGGAUAAGCCUGGGAAACCGGGUCUAAUACUGGAUAUGACUCCAUGACGCAUGUUGUGGGGUGGAAAGCCUUGUGCGGCUGAGGAUGGGCCCGCGGCCUAUCAGCUUGUUGGUGGGGUGAUGGCCUACCAAGGCGACGACGGGUAGCCGGCCUGAGAGGGCGACCGGCCACACUGGGACUGAGACACGGCCCAGACUCCACGGGAGGCAGCAGUGGGGAAUCUUGCGCAAUGGGCGAAAGCCUGACGCAGCGACGCCGCGUGAGGGAUGACGGCCUGGUGU
rnacentral:rRNA from 1 species